rnacentral:rRNA from 1 species
AGUGAACGCUGGCGGUAGGCCUAACACAUGCAAGUCGAACGGCAGCACAGUAAGAGCUUGCUCUUACGGGUGGCGAGUGGCGGACGGGUGAGGAAUACAUCGGAAUCUACUUUUUCGUGGGGGAUAACGUAGGGAAACUUACGCUAAUACCGCAUACGACCUACGGGUGAAAGCAGGGGAUCUUCGGACCUUGCGCGAUUGAAUGAGCCGAUGUCGGAUUAGCUAGUUGGCGGGGUAAAGGCCCACCAAGGCGACGAUCCGUAGCUGGUCUGAGAGGAUGAUCAGCCACACUGGAACUGAGACACGGUCCAGACUCCUACGGGAGGCAGCAGUGGGGAAUAUUGGACAACGGGCGCAAGUCUGAUCCAGCCAUACCGCGUGGGUGAAGAAGGCCUUCGGGUUGUAAAGCCCUUUUGUUGGGAAAGAAAAGCAGCAGGUUAAUACCCCGCUGUUCUGACGGUACCCAAAGAAUAAGCACCGGCUAACUUCGUG